rnacentral:lncRNA from 1 species
CGAGGUCAGGAGAUCGAGACCAUCCUAACACAGUGAAACCCCGUCUCUACUAAAAAAAAUACAAAAAAUUAGCCGGGCGUGGCUGUGGGUGCCUGUAGUCCCAGCUACUCGGAAGGCUAAGGCAGGAGAAUGGCGUGAACCCAGGAGGCGGAGCCUGCAGUGAGCUGAGAUUGCGCCACUGCACUCCAGCCUGGGCGACAGAGUGAGACUCCGUCUCAAAAAAAAAAAAAAGAAAAUCAUCUAACAGGGUACCUGAUACAUGAGCAUUUAACAUAUAUGCUGAUAUAUGCUGAUAUGCUGUUAGGUUCCUGAUACAUAAUGAGCAUUUAACAAAUAUUUUCCCCAACCAGAUCUCCAAUCUUUAAUGUUGUUAUAUCCAGAUCAUAAUAUCUAGUACUGUGCUUUGUCAUACCAUAAACACUCUGAAAUGGAUUUAGUCUUUCUAGCUACCUACCAGCAA